UACCUAUACUCUGUAUCUUUAGGUAUUUAAAUAAAAGUAAACAAACACUUUGUACAUUUUCGGGUAGUUAUAACAUUUAUUGGUUGACCAACCAAAUAUAAAACCGCCUGGAUCAGUCACUGAACGACCUGACAUUAACCUACAUUAUUUGAUCAUGUAAUGUUUUCAUCUACCCUCAACUGGCUUAAGGAACCAUUUGAGGGUAGAUUUUGUUUACUUUUAUUUAAAUACCUAAAGAUACAGAAGCAGAGGAUAAGAGCGUGCGGCUUGCAAUCCGGAGGUCGCGGCUCGUACUAGUGCCAAUGAGUUUUUCGGAACUUUUGUACGAAAUAUUAUUUGAUAUUUACCAGUCGCUUUUCGGUGAAGGAAAACAUCGUGAGGAAACCGGACUCCCAAUAAGGCCUAGUUUACCCUCUGGGUUGGGAGGUCAGAUGGCAGUCGCUUUAGUAAAA